GUGAACGCUGGCGGUAGGCCUCACACCUGCCAGUCGCACGGCAGCACAGUAAGAGCUUGCUCUUACGGGUGGCGAGUGGCGGACGGGUGAGGAAUACAUCGGAAUCUACUUUUUCGUGGGGGAUAACGUAGGGAAACUUACGCUAAUACCGCAUACGACCUACGGGUGAAAGCAGGGGAUCUUCGGACCUUGCGCGAUUGAAUGAGCCGAUGUCGGAUUAGCUAGUUGGCGGGGUAAAGGCCCACCAAGGCGACGAUCCGUAGCUGGUCUGAGAGGAUGAUCAGCCACACUGGAACUGAGACACGGUCCAGACUCCUACGGGAGGCAGCAGUGGGGAAUAUUGGACAAUGGGCGCAAGCCUGAUCCAGCCAUACCGCGUGGGUGAAGAAGGCCUUCGGGUUGUAAAGCCCUUUUGUUGGGAAAGAAAAGCAGCAGGUUAAUACCCCGCUGUUCUGACGGUACCCAAAGAAUAAGCACCGGCUAACGUCGUG
rnacentral:rRNA from 1 species